UACGUAGGGCGCGAGCGUUGUCCGGAAUUAUUGGGCGUAAAGAGCUCGUAGGCGGCCUGUUGCGUCCGCUGUGAAAUCCCGGGGCUCAACCCCGGGCUUGCAGUUGAUACGGGCAGGCUAGAGUUCGGUAGGGGAGACUGGAAUUCCUGGUGUAGCGGUGAAAUGCGCAGAUAUCAGGAGGAACACCGGUGGCGAAGGCGGGUCUCUGGGACGGUACUGACGCUGAGACGCGAAAGCGUGGGGAGCGAACAGG
rnacentral:rRNA from 1 species